GGGAAGAAGGCCUUCGGGUUGUAAACCCCUUUCAGUUGGGACGAAGCUUCCGGCGUUAAUAGCGUUGCGGAGUGACGGUACCUUCAGAAGAAGCCCCGGCUAACUACGUGCCAGCAGCCGCGGUAAUACGUAGGGGGCUAGCGUUGUCCGGAAUCAUUGGGCGUAAAGCGCGUGUAGGCGGUCCGGUAAGUCCGCUGUGAAAGUCGGGGGCUCAACCCUCGGAUGCCGGUGGAUACUGUCGGGCUUGAGUACGGAAGAGGCGAGUGGAAUUCCUGGUGUAGCGGUGAAAUGCGCAGAUAUCAGGAGGAACACCAAUUGCGAAGGCAGCUCGCUGGGACGUUACUGACGCUGAGACGCGAAAGCGUGGGGAGCAAACAGGAUUAGAUACCCUGGUAGUCCACGCUGUAAACGAUGGGCACUAGGUGUGGGGGGUGUCGACUCCCUCCGUGCCGAAGCUAACGCAUUAAGUGCCCCGCCUGGGGAGUACGGCCGCAAGGCUA
rnacentral:rRNA from 1 species